rnacentral:rRNA from 1 species
UACGUAGGGUGCGAGCGUUGUCCGGAAUUAUUGGGCGUAAAGAGCUCGUAGGCGGUCAGUCGCGUCUGCUGUGAAAACUCGGGGCUUAACUCCGGGCCUGCAGUGGGUACGGGCUGACUAGAGUGCGGUAGGGGAGACUGGAAUUCCUGGUGUAGCGGUGAAAUGCGCAGAUAUCAGGAGGAACACCGGUGGCGAAGGCGGGUCUCUGGGCCGUAACUGACGCUGAGGAGCGAAAGCGUGGGAGCGAACAGG